CAACACAGUAGCGUCAUUUUGCCAAACCAUGUAGCAGAACAACUGAUACAACUCUUUUUAUCAACUCUUUGUAAUAUGAGGAGCUGAUUGUGGGGGGAACUGAGUGUGGUUGAGUGGUAUUUGUAAAGCUAUAUAAUUUGUGGUUAGCAUUUUUUUCAUAUUGAAUAGCCAACCUUGGAUAAGUUAGCAUAUUGUGAGCCAUAGCCUUUUUUGAGACCACAAAAUACUGGCUAUUUAACAAAUGUCCUACAUAACAAACUGCCAUCUCUUCCUUGCAUGAAUGAGCACACACACUCCUGAAUUCACUCUCAUAAUAAGUGCAAAAAGGAUUAAUUGCUGAUAAUGAGAUAAUUAACGUAUUGAUUAGCCUUGCCCAUUUAAUUUACAUCUUUCCUGUAUACAUGAUUGUACAGUUUAACUCCCUUAUUUCUGAAUGCAUAUACCUGUAGCUAAUUAAGUAUAUGCUGUGUUUGGGUUUUAUCUGGUAGAUCUGUUCUCUGUUAUUAUUAUCUUAAUGAGUUGACACCCUGCCAGAUCAGUGAUAACAAAAUGUUUCAUACCCAUUCUGCUGGAAAAGUCGAUGAAAACCAGCAGGUUUUACUACCUGGUUGGGCUUUUCUUAGGUGUUUGUUCAAGAAAAUGAAGCAUGAUUGCCUUCCCUUAAAUUGAAGGCACACUAUGAGCAUUAGGCCUUUAUAUAACAAAAAAGUAUGAAUUUUUUCUGGGAGAUUUCAAUUCUUUUUUCAGCAAGGUAUACCAUAUCCCAUUAUAAUCUAUAAAAUCAUUAAAGUUCUAAAGUUCGUAGUUUUUUAAGUCAUUCUUGCAAUGGAUAAACAACAGAAAUUUAGAAAUGGGUUUAUAGAUAGUAACUUUCAUAGUGGUUCUAGUGAUAAAGGGGAAAUUUCUGAAAUUUUCAAGAAAAAAAAAAUUGACAAGGGACCAGAUAUUUCCUGUGUUAGACAUGCAUGAAAACAGAAAGUUUACCUGUAUUUUUUCAGUUAAACAUGCUGUGUGUGUACAGGCAAGCGAAUCAAAUUUUUAAACAAGAAAUUUGAAUUUGAAAUAUCUGGAUUUUUUCAGAUGGUUGUAUGCAUAACACAUAAGUCUCUCAAAGAUAACUAAGAAAAUGUGAAAAGCUGAUACUCAGCCACUAGACAACAAGUUAAACUGGGAGAGGUGCUCUGUUCCACAACACUGGUUCUGCACAUGGACAGAGGUCAAAUUCUUCUGCAAAUAGAUGGCAUCAAGACAGACAUUCAUUAAUAAGCCAGCUAUGCACAGGCACUCCUUCCUUUGGGGGCCAGUGGAACCAGGAAUCCUGGUCGGUCAACUUAGCAUCCUGCUGAGCGAGUGACUCCUUCUAGUGCAUUACAACCAUUACCCAGUGCUAAUGUCGACAUGGAAUUUGAUAAUGAACUAGAUGGAGAGAUUAAAGGAGGUGACAGAAAGCCCAAAUCCCCCUAGCUUAUGGCAAGUGCUGUAUUUCCAUGGACAAAAUGGGCCGGACAAAAUGGAUGUGAAAGAACCAUGCUUUGAUUUUGACAGAAUUCUUUAAAAACAAACUUAUGGCAUUUUCCUUGUCUGACUGACUUUGAGUUCUCCUGGGUAUGAAGCCCUGUGCAAGUUUCAUUUUCUGAAAGUCCACAGCAACAGUGAAGGCCCCUGGUAGAAACAGUCUGAUGAAAGAGCAUUUGCCACUGACAUACCUGGUCUAUCAUCCCUGCAAGGUGAACUUCAGAGCUAUCUAUCAGUAGGAAAGGUUAAAUAAUGAGGAAAAUCAGGAAUAGGUUGCUGAAGGUAUCAUGCAUGAGGCUUGCCAGUAUCACUGUCUCCUAGCAACAGGAGUCCUUGGAGGUUAACGGGAGCCAGACUGGAGAAGGGCCCCUUGAGUUGCAUUGAACAGAAAUAUUCUUCUGAAGCUAGUCACAUGAGUUUGCCAAACAAGAGGCCCUGGUUGAGGUUGUAUUCUCCUAAACCGUGUUUGACACUUUUAGACAGCUGAGGGGCACAGUACAUCUCACCCUGAAACUCCAAAGGCAAAAAAAAAGCUGCUAUUAUUAAGUAAUGGACUUCGAAGCUGUACUUUAGUCAAAGAAAAUAAAUUAACUCACCAACUGAGUUAUAACUUCCUGCCUAAUUGUGCUUUUCUGAAGCAAAUAUGUGUUUGUUGCUUUGAAACUUUUCUGCUGAUUUUGCAAAGGCAGUUAAUAGUAGUUAAUAAGGCUGGUUAUUUUCAACUUUUUUGGCUAUGACCUGUUACUUUUGUGCAUCCUCAUUUUAUAUUACUUUCAUCAUUUUAUAGAUGGGCUUUAUUUAUAUAUAUUCUUAUCACCAUUGUCCACCCUAUAACUGCCACUUCAGGGCUAUUCACACUGGCGAUUUCGACCUCGGUUUAGGCCCAAUCACUGCAGCUAUGUCCCUGCACAUUGAAAUAUCUCAUUGAAAUAUUUCUUGACCCAAGUAAAUUAAAUAUUUUGUACAGCAUAACAAUUGUCACUUCUUGAACUCCCCCUAUGUUGUUCAUAUUACUUUCUAAUGAGAACAAUAGUGCUCAUGCUUAACAGGAAGUACAGCUGAUCAUGAUGAAAAGCUAUCGCUGCCCAUUUCUGUGAAAGCAAAGAAAGUGGGUUUAUUUUAUUGCACCGUGGUUUACUUGCCAGUGUGAAUGUCCCUUGUAUUUAUCUUUUACUUCAAAUUUCCUGAGUGACUUUCUUUGGUAAGAAUGGAAGUUCCUUUUGAAAAUCAGCAUGAUCAUAUUAUUUUUACAAUAGUAAUUAAAUUUUUGGUCACAUGGAUUUUGGCAAAGCUCACCCUAUAAGUAACAAACUUUUCUUUUGUUCUUCUUCAAGUUUGCUGAGUGGGUUUGUUUAGUGAGUAUACAUUCUUUUUGAAAAUCAGCAUGAUCAGAUAUCUUUAGACAGGUUAUGUGUUAUGUUGUUGUGCAUGUAUUUUGGUUAUGCUCACCCCAUCAGUGACAAACUGUACUUUUGUUUUACUGAAAUUUGUUGAACAGUUUGUUGUGUAAAAAAGCUUUAGUUAAAAAAUCAAAUAUAUUGGUUAAUUGCCACACAAUACUGCACAUUUUGUGAUGUUUUGCAAUCCUGUUGUCCAGUGUUUUCUUUUAAAAACAGUUAAUUGAGCUUUGUAAACAUUUUAAAAUUGUAUCAGAAUUAUUGAUUUUUUAAGUAACUGGGAGUGACUUUUUCCAAUUUUUUGACUUCUAUGAAUAAUGUGGUUGCAGCAUUUCUAUAUUAGUCAAUAUUUCAAAUAAAGAGCUUAACUUGUGCACAUGGUACAAAUUGAGGACUUGCAUAAACUAGCAAGUUCAGUACAAAAAAGCUGACGUGUUUUGAAAAGCAGGUAUACACUUUUUAGGAAGUUGCUCACUGUUAUCACUGAAAAGUUGAUUUUUUAAUUGCUAUGCUCACUGAAAUAUUUUAGUUUAUGUUAAAAUGGAGCAAUGGGGAUAACUUUUUUUCUGUUAAGGGUCUGUAUAUCUGAACUGCUUUGCUGUCUACUUCUAUUUGAAUACUCGUAGAUUGGAUACAAAUAUGCAUUGUUUCAAAAGUCAUGCUUCAAGUUUGCCCCAUAAUUACGAAUUAUACCAAAUAAUUUCACCUUAUAAAUGGUUAAGAUUUCUUAGAAAUAUAUAUUGACUUUCUGUUGCAUCAAGCAGUAAAGUACAACUGGUAAAGA